UACGUAGGGGGCUAGCGUUGUCCGGAAUCAUUGGGCGUAAAGAGCGUGUAGGCGGCUCGGUAAGUCCGCUGUGAAAGUCGGGGGCUCAACCCUCGAAUGCCGGUGGAUACUGUCGAGCUAGAGUGCGGAAGAGGCGAGUGGAAUUCCUGGUGUAGCGGUGAAAUGCGCAGAUAUCAGGAGGAACACCGAUUGCGAAGGCAGCUCGCUGGGACGUUACUGACGCUGAGACGCGAAAGCGUGGGGAGCGAACAGG
rnacentral:rRNA from 1 species